UUGGUCUACAUCAGGCCAGACUUCGCUAUCCCCCUUUUAAUCGAACCCCACCGGUUGCCAGCCUGGAUGUUCCAUGCUCUCCUUCGGCUGUCAGCAACUCCCUCCGCUCUUCUCUUCUCUUCUCUUUUGAAACCAAGGUAGAGCGAGAGGCCAAGAAAUCCGAAGAAAGAAGACCCCGAAAGAGAGCGAGAGAGGCCAAGAAAUCCGAAGAAACGAGACAUCUAGAGAGAGCUCUGAGUCGAUUCAAGAUCCAACCGCAUUUCACUGGGACCUCCCUUCUCCUCAACAGGAGACAAGAACGAAUUCAAAAGGGGAAGUGGAAGAAAGAAAGCAAGAAAACAAGAGAAGGGAGUGACAGAGUUCGAUUCGAUCCGAGCCGGAACCAGAUCCGGCGGAAGGAAAGAAGAAGGGGAAGAUCGAUGGGGGAUUUCAAUUUGGCGCUGGUGAUCGUGGCGGUGGUGGUUUCUGCUCUGGUCCUUCUGGUUAGCGUCUACUUGUUGGUGAACUACCAGCAUCCGGACGAUGUGAACCAGGCCUACUUCCCUAAGCUGGUGGUGGUUCUUGGCCUCUCGAUCGCCGCCAUCUCCAUCUUGAUGCUGCCGGCCGACGUCGCCAACCGGCAGGCGUGCCGGCACGCCAUUUACAAUGGUGCCUGUAAUCUCACUCUCCCAAUGAAGACCCUCUGGCUCGCCGUCUACAUUGCCGAUGCCGUUCUCGUCUUCUUCAUCAUCCCCUUUGCCAUGUUCUACUACGAGGGCGACCAGGACAAGAGUGUGGCGAAGAGGCUGAAGAGCGCUUUGCUGUGGGUUGUGACCUCCGCCAUCGUUUGUGGACUUAUUCUUGGCAUUCUCUACGCUCUUGUAGGUAAAGUGGACUUCACAGUCAGGCACCUCUCUUCAUCCGUAAGAAGCUUCCCAAAUUCUUGGACAGGAUUAUCAAGCAGUCAACCUUGUUUAACUCCAUUGAUUCGUCAGUGUGCUGCAUAUACAGCAAGUGCUGCUUCAGAAAAAACUUGGACAAUGCGCACCACCUUUCCAGAAUAUGUGGUUGCUCUUGCAACAGUUGUUGGAUCAGUGUUAUUCGCGAUAUUUGGAGGUGUUGGGAUUGCUUGCCUUCCACUGGGACUCAUAUUUGCAUUUAUACGCCGGCCCAAGGCUGUCAUUACUCGUUCACAAUAUAUAAAGGAAGCAACUGAAUUGGGAAAGAAAGCUAGAGAAUUGAAGAAAGCAGCAGAAGCCCUUCAUCAAGAAGAGCGAAAUGGUAACAAGGGGAGAAAAUGGCGUAAAAAUGUAAAAGCUGUUGAAAAGGAGUUGCUUCUCUUGGAAGAUGAUACGAAAGCUUUGGAGGAAAUGUAUCCUCAAGGAGAAAAGGCAGAGACUGCUUGGGCUCUAACUGUCCUGGGUUACUUGGGAAAACUUGUUUUGGGGAUUGUCGGGUUGAUUGUUUCGGUGGCUUGGGUUGCACACAUCGUCAUAUAUCUAUUGAUCGACCCUCCUCUUUCCUCUUUCCUAAAUGAAGUCUUCAUCAAAUUGGAUGAUGUCUGGGGUCUUCUAGGUACUGCAGCAUUUGCAUUUUUCUGCUUCUACCUUCUGCUUGCAGUGAUUGCUGGGGCAAUGAUGCUUGGUCUGAGAUUAAUCUUUAUUACCAUUCACCCAAUGAAUUCAUCAACUCUGUUUCAGGUGGGGAGGAACCCUGAUGAACUCUUUUCUCUUUAAUGUCGGACUCAUUCUACUUUGCUCCAUGAGUGUGAUUCAAUUCUGUGCUACAGCCUUCGGUUACUAUGCACAAGCAACCGCUGCUCAGGAGAUAUUUGGCCACACCUUGCAGUCUCUUCGUGGAAUCAAGUAUCUGUACAAGUAUAACGUAUUCCAAUAUGCAUUUGUCGCUCUGGGAGUAAUCACUCUUUUCUACUAUGCUGCAUUUGGAUGGAAAAAGAGAAGACCAAGUGGCAGGUUCCAGCUUUCCGGUUGACCAUGUGCUACUACUGGCCCGAUUUUCCAGCGAUUCCUGAGCGGCUUGUCUGUCUUGAAGUGAUGGAAGUUUGUUUUGGUUGUAUUUAUGGUCUUAUACAGAUGCGGAAAGGGAAAAAAGGAUCACAUCAAUGUAAAUGGCCUCUUGAAGGUCAGGAACGAACAGAGUGAUACACCCUACUCGGGGCUGUUGGUGUGGAUUGUUUCAUUUUUUUUUCUUUCUUGAUCGUCUUAUUUAUAGUUAUAUUUUUUUUCCUUUUUCAUAUGUUUGGAUGUAUUAUUUUAUAGUUGGUUGAUCCAAUUGUGUAUUUGAAUAUAUUGAGGUGGCAUUUGGUGCACUACAUAAGUAAUGUGAUUGUCAAGGGAAUAUGAUUAUAGAGAA